AUGGAGGGAGAUUGUGGCAUGGAGCCAGGAAACAGAAAAGGCAUGAAAAGAAGAACUAAUUUGGAGCUGGCGGGAUCGGUGAUAAUGAAACCUACCUUGCUGUUUCACGUUGAGGAAUCACUGCGGGAAGGUUGGACUCCCCAGAAGCAGACCCUGAGUGAUUCACUUAAGGAAUAUUGCCAGGAAAAACUGGUGAGAAGUGGGCCCCAGAAGAAAAGGAGGACGCCGGGACAAGGUGCAACACUGAGCAAAGCCUCAGGAAAGGAAAUGCUGAGAUGUGACUUACCGUCUUUCCAAAUCUUCCUGUGUACUGUCCCUGCUAUCCUGGCCAGGGACCACGGAAGCUGGAGUAUUUACACCUCCCUCUCACCUGUCAUUCACCAGUUAAAGACUGUCAUUUCUAGAAGGAAGUCAAUCUUCAUUAUUGUACUAUCAAAAUAG
rnacentral:lncRNA from 1 species